rnacentral:misc_RNA from 1 species
AAGUCGUAACAAGGUAACCGUAGGUGAACCUGCGGUUGGAUCAUUACCAAUAUAUUUUCUUUUUUUUCUUUUUUUUUCCCCCGCGGAAUUGUCUUGCUCGCGCAAGUCGCUCCUUGCUGGUAAAUUGACUUGUGUGUUUUUCACAUUUGUGGAAGCUGGCGAGAUGCCAGCGAAGGAUUUACGAAAAGCAAAGGAGCCAACGAGCGAGCGAGCGAGCAGAAGGGGGAAAAAAAGAAAAAAGAAAAUAGGUACCAACAUGUGAACCUACCUCACCGUUGCUUCGGCGGGUGGCCCGGGGCAACCCAGGCUGCGCCGGCCCCCCUCUUCGGGGGGCCUGGCAAGCCCGUCAGAGGACUGAAACCCUGUAAUUACUGGCCUCUCUGAGUAACUUAUACAAUAAGUCAAAACUUUCAACAACGGAUCUCUUGGUUCUG